UUUAUUUGAUAGCACCUUACUACUUGGAUAACCGUGGUAAUUCUAGAGCUAAUACAUGCUAAAAAUCCCAACUUCGGAAGGGAUGUAUUUAUUAGAUUAAAAACCAAUGCCCUUCGGGGCUCCUUGGUGAUUCAUGAUAACUUCUCGAAUCGCAUGGCCUUGCGCCGGCGAUGGUUCAUUCAAAUUUCUUCCCUAUCAACUUUCGAUGCGAAGGUCUUGUCUUCGCAUGGUUACAACGGGUAACGGAGGGUUAGGGCUCGACCCCGGAGAAGGAGCCUGAGAAACGGCUACUACAUCUAAGGAAGGCAGCAGGCGCGCAAAUUACCCAAUCCCGACACGGGGAGGUAGUGACAAUAAAUACUGAUACAGGGCUCUUUUGGGUCUUGUAAUCGGAAUGAGUACAAUUUAAUGCCUUAACGAGGAACAAUUGGAGGGCAAGUCUGGUGCCAGCAGCCGCGGUAAUUCCAGCUCCAAUAGCGUAUAUUAAAGUUGUUGUGGUUAAAAAGCUCGUAGUCGACCUUGGGCCUGGCUGGCCGGUCCCCCUCACCGGGUGCACUGGUCCGGCCGGGCCUUUCCCUCUGUGGAACUGCAUGCCCUUUACUGGGCGUGUAGGGAAACAGGACUUUUACUUUGAAAAAAUUAGAGUGCUCCAGGCAGGCAUAUGCUCGAAUACUUCAGCAUGGAAUAAUAGAAUAGGACGUGUGGUUCUAUUUUGUUGGUUUCUAGGACCGCCGUAAUGAUUAAUAGGGACAGUCGGGGGCAUCAGUAUUCAAUUGUCAGAGGUGAAAUUCUUGGAUCUAUUGAAGACUAACUACUGCGAAAGCAUUUGCCAAGGAUGUUUUCAUUGAUAAGGAACGAAAGUUAGGGGAUCGAAGACGAUCAGAUACCGUCGUAGUCUUAACUAUAAACUAUGCCGACUAGGGAUCGGACGAUGUUGUCAUAUGACUCGUUCGGCACCUUUCGAGAAAUCAAAGUGCUUGGGCUCCU
rnacentral:rRNA from 1 species